UACGUAGGGGGCUAGCGUUGUCCGGAUUUAUUGGGCGUAAAGAGCUCGUAGGCGGCUUGUCGCGUCGAAUGUGAAAUCUCAGGGCUCAACUCUGACAUUGCAUUCGAUACGGGCAGGCUAGAGUUCGGUAGGGGCUAAUGGAAUUCCGGGUGUAGCGGUGGAAUGCGUAGAGAUCCGGAAGAACACCAGUGGCGAAGGCGGUUAGCUGGGCAGUUGCUGACACUGAUGCGCGACAGCGUGGGGAGCAAACAGG
rnacentral:rRNA from 1 species